UUUGGGAGCGGUCCUGGGGGUUAAUGCUUCACUGGACCGUGGCCUCUUUUUGCAGCAGUUCCAGAAGGCUCUCAUCCCACUGACCCUGCCUAUCCUAGGCAGGCAGGUUGUGCCAGCAUCCCAGAAACUGCAGAUAAAUUCCAUGUUAGAGGAGCACACUUGACCAGCUAACAGCUCAGAGCAGAUGGCCUUCCGGAGACACGCUGGGCGAGUGGAAAAUGUAAUGAAAUUCCCAGAGCCUCCUGGUGCACUACCAAGAUCACGUGCUGAAGGCUCCUGAGGAGUGCCUCUGUCUCCCAGCCCUGGGCUCAAAGCAGAGAUCACCUCACAGCUUGCUUUAGUCGGGGCUGAUGAAGGACAAAUGCUGCUGGGUUUGCCUGGACACUCAGAGCCAGGGUAGAUUUUGGUUCUUAAUUGGGCAGGUCCAAAGUUUUCCAUAGCUUUUAUUGUCUAGAACAGGAAUAUCUGGACCAGGAUACUUCUGACCACCCUUCCAAGGCUCUCUGGUUUCAUUAAUUGGGCUCUACACCCCCAAAUUAAUGACUGUGCAAUGUGUUGCUGUUCCAUUCAUGAGAUCCAUGUUGUGGUGGAUUUUGGCAGUACCAGACUCUCCUUCCACUGCCUUUGAACUCCUACCUGGCUUCCCCCAGUCUUUACAGAACCAUCCACUUAUCCUGCUGGCCAACAGCUUCUCUGAUCCCUAAGGAGCUGAUCCAUUCCCUGUAAGCUGCUCAGCUCUCAUCUCUCUUAAUUCUCCCCCUCUUUUCCUCCUAUGCUCUGCACAAAUUGCUCCCAGAAUGGAGCAGUGGAUUUUGCAGAGAGAUCACAUAGGACAAAUCUACCAAGCUGUUGCUUCUCCCUCAGGUUGCUUUUUUCACUGUCACUUUUCUCCCCAGGCUCUGUAGCCCAAAUUUCCCCUGGCCCCCAUAGACUGAGGACAGAGAGAGCAGGAAAAUGUUGCCUCAGGUUAAUUAUUGUCUCCAGCCGCUUUCUCAUAUCUCUACAUUUUCUCUGUCUGGAUUAUUGCCUUUGGGGUCAAAGGAGGGUUUUUUUUGAUACUGUGCAGAUAAUAUGAUGGUAGAAUGCAACAUUUGGUAAGUAGAUCACCUUAAUCUUGUUUUCACAGCUCCUUUUCUUAUGCUUACAUCUUGAAUGUGAGGUUUGGAUUUGCACAUUUUCCUUCCUCUGCAGCACAGCCACCCUGGUACAAAGCAUUGACUUUAUUGUGUCUAACAGGUCCUAGAAAGUUGCUUGGAUCUUUAUUUCUUGGCACAAAUAAUGGGGCAGGAGCAUUUUCAAUGCUGCCCUCAUAAUGAAGAGAGAACUUUUCACUGGAACUCUGCAAUCACUUUUAGAAAAGAAUUUGGAGCAAUAAGAGUGAGUGACAGUUCUCCCCUCAAACCUUUUUUUUAUUAACUGACAGAAAGGAUGCCAUUUGCUUCCUUUGCAAAUAAAAUGAACAAAAUAGUGCGAGUGAUACCUGAAAAUACCACAUAAAAUGUGCUAGGAAAAGGCAGCUCUGGCAUCUGUUGAGAAAGGACAUCAUUGUUCUUAUUCAGUCUCAGCCAUGAUGAGAAUCUCACCUUCCAGACCUGACUACACAACAGGCUAUUUUGAGGAGAGAGUCUCUUUACAUUGGCUGACUGUACAAGGCUUUAAAAUAUAUAUAUUAAAUGUAGGCAAAAGGAGUACAUUCCAAAAAAUCAGGCAUGUAAAUGAAAACUCCUCAAAUCUUUGAAAAAUCUUCCUUAAUAUUAUAUAAUAAGAAAUACAUAACUGUGCCUAUUUUUACAGUAAUUUUCUUUCAUUUGAUGACAUUCAAUAGUAAGAUUUAUUAUUACCCGCAUGGAAAAUAUCCUGCCUGGGGGUGGUUGAAAUAGAUCUUGCAGACAAGUCAUCAAUCAGCUGGUGUUUAUCUCUUCAGAGAUCAGCGAUAUCAGUGGCAGGAACAAUUCCAACCAAUUCAAGAGUAUUUACCGAUAAUAAAAGGAAAUGUUGGUGUGGCUUUGUACUGCUUCUCUCGCCAGAGGUCACACAGCGUUUUUGCAGGAGGGCUGAUUUAUUGAGGCUCCUUUGAAGCUGAGGCUGGGAGGGCUCCGAGGUGUCCAGAGCCCUUGCCCUGACACCUCUGUGGCCAUUGCUCCCUCUCUGAGAGAAGGUCCAACUUCCCUGGCAGAGGGCUUUAAGAUAACACCAGUCCUCCCUGUCCCCUCUGCUAAUGAGUUCAGCUAAAAGGAUUUAAGACUGAUGCAGACAAAAAGAUCUUUUACAUCAGCUGAAUUGCACGCAAAAUGAUUCUUACACUUCUAAGGAGUGAAUUGUAGCUUCUAACUGAACUCUGCUGUAAUUCUAAAGCAGAAGGUCUUAUAUUUGUGUCCCUGAUAGAGAGGUUUUUCAAAAUUUUAUGACAACACUCAGAAUAUUUAUAGGUAUUGACUGCAGGGUUCAGGACAAAGAUCUGUUGUCCUUGAGGCAAAAUACCAACCCUGACUUUACCUAGCAUUUGCCUCUUGGUGUAAUCAGUCUGGAACUAACACUGCAAUUGUUACCUAACCCGUGUACGACACAAGGGUUUUGUUCCUCUCGCUUUUGCAUUUUUUUUUCUUUGUAAAAUUCAGUAUUUAUACUUACUGAAACAAAGAGCACUUUGAAUCACAACAUGAAGUGUAUGGUUUUUAAAAUGUUAUAAAGGGGUCUUUUUUUUUUUGUUUAAUUUCUAUGGUUUUGUCUAAGGAAAUUUACUGGAACAUUCAUUUCUGAGAGGAAACUUGCUCUAUGUGGACAAUAAAGAUGUUAAGAUCAGGAUGAAUGUCUAUGGGAGAUAAUAAUAAUGAAUGAAAAAAUGCAUCAGUCCAGCACUCA